UGUGGAGCCCCUGAUGUGUGUGGGAGCUGGGAGCAGUAUGAGGAGAAGAAAGAGACCCAUCCAGAGGAGGCCGACAGGAGGCUGAAGGCGGCCCAGAAACUGCUCUCCUCCUGGGCCACACAGCUGGACACACAGCCCCAGACUCACAGCAAGUGUCCUGGUCCAACGCUCUGUCGUCCACAAGCUAAAGACAUUUCUCCAGAGUGUGUUCUCUGCCAACAAGAAACCAGUGGAGUCAGUUGAACAGCCUGCAAUGCCUGAUCAGAGGCCUGAACUGCCUGCAUCAUGUUGAACAGCCUGCAACGCCUGAUCAGAGGCCUGAACUGCCUGCAUCAUCCCUCAAGGCUCCUCAUCCUCACGCUCAACUUGGGCAAUGACUU